GACAGAGGGUGCAAACGUUGCUCGGAAUUACUGGGCGUAAAGCGCGUGUAGGUGGACUGGUGUGUCAGAUGUGAAAUCCCUGGGCUCAACCCAGGAACUGCACCUGAAACUACCAGCCUUGAGUGGUGGAGAGGGGAGUGGAAUUCCUGGUGUAGAGGUGAAAUUCGUAGAUAUCAGGAGGAACACCAGUGGCGAAGGCGGCUUCCUGGACACCAACUGACGCUGAGACGCGAAAGCGUGGGGAGCAAACAGG
rnacentral:rRNA from 1 species